UACGGAGGGGGCUAGCGUUGUUCGGAAUUACUGGGCGUAAAGCGCGCGCAGGCGGUUUUUUAAGUCAGUGGUGAAAUACGGCAGCUCAACUGUCGAGGUGCCAUUGAUACUGGGAAACUUGAGUACUGAUGAGGUAGGCGGAAUGGACGGUGUAGCGGUGAAAUGCUUAGAUAUCGUCCAGAACACCGAUAGCGAAGGCAGCUUACUAAGGAGUAACUGACGCUGAGGCACGAAAGUGUGGGGAUCAAACAGG
rnacentral:rRNA from 1 species